rnacentral:lncRNA from 1 species
CCUGAAACACUGCUGGGAAGGAUUCUGGCUACCUUUUGGAAAGAGAGCUGUGGUCACUUUACAUUCCCUGUCAUCUGCAUUGCAACAUUAGGGGGUGAAAUGUGGUAGCACAGCCACUGAGCAAGUAGAGAGCCAUUGAUGAUUUUAGUUUGGGGGCUGUGGUAUGACAAAUGUGCUGUAAAGAGACAUAAAUGUAAUAACAGUAUACAGGACAAAGCGGAGGGGUGCAAGACUCCAAGUGCGCAUCGGGAAAGAGCGGCUUGGAGGAAAUCCUACUUUAGACAUGUGCUUGGAAAAUUAGGGAUAGAGGCACUCUGGUGCCAGAAAGAAAGGGCCCAGGAGAUGUCACUAUUUAGUGGAAGGAACUUGUAAAUGGGAGGUCCAGAGAGAAAAGGAAACGGACACUCUAGUAUGAAGUGAAAGUGAAUGCAAGCAAUUGAAGUUGAAGUUAUAAAUACAGUUUUUCUUAUCUCCUCUCAAAUCUCCCAUUAAGAUGGGAAUUUAUUUUCUAUUUUUUUUGUGUGUUAAGUUAGGCAUGAUAGUAACCCCAAAAUAGAGAAACUCAAAAAUAAUAGGGGGUAAGUAAGAUAUAAAUGAUUUCUCUCAUGAUCAACCCAAACAUAAAUGAUCCAUGGCAAGUAUCACAUACGAUGUCACUAUCAUGUCAGAGAACCAGGCUGUUUUUGUUCUCAAUAUUUGUUUCCUCCUCAUGAGUCAAUGCCUGCCACCUCUGUCGUUUAUAUUUGCAAUAUUAACUAAAGAAAAGAAAGAAACAGAGCAC